UUCCCAGCCGCGCCGCCCUGGCGCAGAAGGGGCGGGGCUGGGGUCGAGGGAGGAGCGGGUCCGGCGUCUCCCAGACUGGGAUGGUGGAGCAUUUGCAGGCCAAAGGGUGGAGAGGAUCCUGGCAAAGCGGGUGGAGAGCCUGGGGUCGCCCGGGCCUGACCCCCCCCCCCCACCUCAGGGACGCUGGACCCCACACCGGAUCUGUGCCCGGGCUUUUCCACAGAAGGCGGCUCCCGCUGGGCACGUUCCAGGCACCGGACAACGGAGACGCCCGGACCACGGGCGGAGUGGGCACGGAGGAGCGGCUAGCUGGGGAGGAGGGCAGAAGAGCCGAGUGGAGACAGCAGUGAAUGCCUUUGAGAUCUAGGACUGCUUGGCUCAAUGGCUGGUGGGAGAAACCAAUAGACCCGAGGGCCCUGCACAGAAGCAAUUUCCCUAAUCCCCUGAUGAUGGAAAUGUUACCUGAGGAGGCGCAAGUCCCUCAAAGGCUGAGCCUGUGAUGUUUCUGUCAUGCUUCUCUUCUGUGCUCAACGACCACACGCUCAAUAGAAACCUGUUUGAAAGACUGAGUAAACUCUGAGUCUGCAGAGUUUACUUUAUUGUUUUUUUACUUUAUUUUAUUUUUCUUUAAAGGAACAUAAAAACUAUAAUACAGGAUUUCCAGAAAUUAUAUGGAUUUCCUUCACUCGAAUGGAAGUUCGAGCUUAAUUAGAAUGGAACCGAAAUAUGGAAAAACAUGGCUGAAGCGGUACUCAGAGAUAGGCCUUUCACAAAAUUCACUCUUCCAGAUGUCACUGAUACUUUUGGAUUCUUUUUCAGAGGAAAGCUGCUUCUUGUUAAUGUCUGUUUGAAUACUGCAGUUCACGAAAAGUCAGGGCUCACACCCAUUAGGAUUGCUGCCAUCAAAACAACAAACAAUUGUGGACAAGGAUGUAGAGAAAGGGAACCCUCAUGCACUGCUGGUCGGGGUAUAGAAAGAUGCAGCCACUGUAGAAAACAGUACAGAGGUUCAUCAAAAAAUUAAACACAAUUACUUUAUAACCCAGCAAUUCUAGUUCUGGGUGAAUACACAAAGGAAUUGAAAGCAGGGUCUGGAAGAGAUGUUUGAACACCCACGUUCAUAGCAAUAUUAGUUACAAUUGCCAAAAGGUAGAAGCAAUGCAAGUAUCCAUGACAGAUGAAUGGGCUAAGGGAAAUGUGGUCCAUCCAUACAAUAGAAUAGUAAAUAUUACUCAGCUUUUUAAAUGGAAAGAUAUUCUAUCACAUGCUACAACACUAAUGAAUUCAGAGGACUUAUACUCUGUGAAAUAAGCAGUCACAAAAAGACAAAUACUGUUUUGAUUCUGCUUAGAUGAGGUUCAAAAAUCAUAGCAACAUAAAGUAGAAUGGUAGUUACCAGGAUCUGAGGGAAGAGAAUGAAGAGUUCUAAAGAUGGAGGGUUGUGAUGGGUCCACUAUAUGAAUACACUUAAUACCACCAACCUGUACACUUAAAAAUGGCUGUAAUGGCAAGAUGUAUAUUUUACCACAGGUUUUAAAAAUAA